rnacentral:rRNA from 1 species
UACGAAGGGGGCUAGCGUUGCUCGGAAUCACUGGGCGUAAAGGGUGCGUAGGCGGGUCUUUAAGUCAGAGGUGAAAUCCUGGAGCUCAACUCCAGAACUGCCUUUGAUACUGAGGAUCUUGAGUUCGAGAGAGGUGAGUGGAAUUCCCAGUGUAGAGGUGAAAUUCGUAGAUAUUGGGAAGAACACCGGUGGCGAAGGCGGCUCACUGGCUCGUAACUGACGCUCAUGCACGACAGCGUGGGGAUCAAACAGG